rnacentral:rRNA from 1 species
GACGAACGCUGGCGGCGUGCUUAACACAUGCAAGUCGAACGGAAAGGCCCUGCUUUUGUGGGGUGCUCGAGUGGCGAACGGGUGAGUAACACGUGAGUAACCUGCCCUUGACUUUGGGAUAACUUCAGGAAACUGGGGCUAAUACCGGAUAGGAGCUCCUGCUGCAUGGUGUGGGUUGGAAAGUUUCGGCGGUUGGGGAUGGACUCGCGGCUUAUCAGCUUGUUGGUGGGGUAGUGGCUUACCAAGGCUUUGACGGGUAGCCGGCCUGAGAGGGUGACCGGCCACAUUGGGACUGAGAUACGGCCCAGACUGCUACGGGAGGCAGCAGUGGGGAAUAUUGCACAAUGGGCGGAAGCCUGAUGCAGCAACGCCGCGUGCGGGAUGACGGCCUUCGGGUUGUAAACCGCUUUCGCCUGUGACGAGGCGUGAGUGACGGUAAUGGGUAAAGAAGCACCGGCUAACUACGUG